AUUGAACGCUGGCGGCAGGCCUAACACAUGCAAGUCGAACGAGUGGCGGACGGGUGAGUAAUGUCUGGGAAACUGCCCGAUGGAGGGGGAUAACUACUGGAAACGGUAGCUAAUACCGCAUACCAUCGGAUGUGCCCCGAUGGGAUUAGCUAGUAGGUGGGGUAACGGCUCACCUAGGCUACGAUCCCUAGCUGGUCUGAGAGGAUGAUCAGCCACACUGGAACUGAGACACGGUCCAGACUCCUACGUGAGGCAGCAGUGGGGAAUAUUGCACAAUGGGCGCAAGCCUGAUGCAGCCAUGCCGCGUGUAUGAAGAAGGCCUUCGGGUUGUAAAGUACUUUCAGCGAGGAGGCGUUACUCGCAGAAGAAGCACCGGCUAACUCCGUGCCAGCCGCCGCGGUAAUAC
rnacentral:rRNA from 1 species